rnacentral:piRNA from 1 species
GAACCUGGAAGCCAGCCACCAUGUGC